rnacentral:misc_RNA from 1 species
UUAAGUUCAGCGGGUAUCCCUACUUGAUCCGAGGUCAAAAGUGUUAAAAUGAUCCUUGAUGGACGCAAGUGUUGACCAGCUUAAAUCGCAAAUUGUGCUGCGCUUCAAACCAAUUACACUGGCUGCCAAUAAUUUUAAGGCGAGUCCAAACGCAAAGGAAAGGACAAACACCCAACACCAAGCAAGGCUUGAGGGUACAA